UACGAAGGGGGCAAGCGUUGUUCGGAAUUACUGGGCGUAAAGGGAGCGUAGGCGGAUAGUUUAGUCAGAGGUGAAAGCCCAGGGCUCAACCUUGGAAUUGCCUUUGAUACUGGCUAUCUUGAGUACGGAAGAGGUAUGUGGAACUCCGAGUGUAGAGGUGAAAUUCGUAGAUAUUCGGAAGAACACCAGUGGCGAAGGCGACAUACUGGUCCGUUACUGACGCUGAGGCUCGAAAGCGUGGGGAGCAAACAGG
rnacentral:rRNA from 1 species